GACGAACGCUGGCGGCGUGCUUAACACAUGCAAGUCGAACGGAAAGGCCUGCUUUCCCUUGUGGAUUGCGGGUACUCGAGUGGCGAACGGGUGAGUAACACGUGAGUGAUCUGCCCCCAACUUGGGUAUAAGCCUGGGAAACUGGGUCUAAUUCCCGAUAGGACUGCAGGGUGUGGCCUGUGGUGGAAAACGAUUUUCUAGUGGUGGGGGAUGAGCUCGCGGCUUAUCAGCUUGUUGGUGGGGUAAUGGCCUACCAAGGCGGCGACGGGUAGCCGGCCUGAGAGGGUGGACGGCCACAUUGGGACUGAGAUACGGCCCAGACUCCUACGGGAGGCAGCAGUGGGGAAUAUUGCACAAUGGGCGGAAGCCUGAUGCAGCGACGCCGCGUGGGGGAUGACGGCCUUCGGGUUGUAAACUCCUUUCGACCGCGAGGAAGCCACCUGGUUGGAAGGGUGGUGACGGUAGUGGUAGAAGAAGCACCGGCUAACUACGUG
rnacentral:rRNA from 1 species